AUUGAACGCUGGCGGCAGGCCUAACACAUGCAAGUCGAGCGAGCGGCGGACGGGUGAGGAAUGUCUGGGAAACUGCCUGAUGGAGGGGGAUAACUACUGGAAACGGUAGCUAAUACCGCAUACCAUCAGAUGUGCCCAGGUGGGAUUAGCUAGUAGGUGGGGUAACGGCUCACCUAGGCGAAGUUCCCUAGCUGGUCUGAGAGGAUGACCAGCCACGCUGGAACGGAGGCACGGUCCAGACUCCUACGGGAGGCAGCAUUGGGGAAUAUUUCACGAUGGGCGCAAGCCUGAUACAGCCAUGCCGCUUGUGUGAAGAAGGCCUUCGGGUUGUAAGACGCUUUCAGCGGGGAGGCGUUACCCGCAGAAGAAGCACCGGCUAACUCCGUGCCAGCAGCCGCGGUAAUUC
rnacentral:rRNA from 1 species